AACACUUCCAACCCUUUCCUCAAAGAGCUGUAGGACUACAAUCUUAGCAUGCACUAGUCUCAGGGACAAUGCCUGUCACCGGAGGAAGAGACCGGACUGUGUGCGCCUCCCUAGGAUUGCUGGAAGAUGUAUUCUCAUAAACACUCUCAACUCUUUGGUCAAAGUGCUACAGGACUACAAUCCCAGCAUGCGCCAAGCUCCAGGGCAAGGCGCUGCCCUGGAAGAAGGGGCAGAGUGGUACAAUAGAGAACAGCCCAGCUGCCUUUACUCACAGUGGGACUUCACACCAUCCAGGGCCAGAGAAAUUGCUCCCCUUACAGAAAGUCCCAAAUGGAGAGAAGACCAUCAGAGUGCUUGUUCUACUCUCAAUAAACGAUCUAAUCCAAUAUAAGCAACACCUCUGAUGGCCCUCAGACAACUUCAGCGCAUUUACUGAAGCCUUCCAGGCUCUAACUUUGACCACCAUUCAACUGUACCAUCCACAAAUGGACAGAAUGACUGCUGCCAACUUAGCUGCACAAAAUUUUGCUUUUAGCAAAAAAUAGAAAGUACUUAAAACGUUUGUUGCUUUCACCAUUUUAAUGCAAAAUACUUUUGCAGCAUAAAUGUCACCAUAAGGUGGAGCCUUGGGAAUCCAGUAGAAACUAUCUCAGAAAACCUCAAUGGGUCUGCAACAAGCAGCAGAGGCCUCAAUAGACUUCAACAACGUCUGGGCACCAUGGCCACUGCAGUCCGACAAAACCAAAGAGCCUGGGAUCUUCUCCCAGCCGGGCAAAGAGGAGCAUGUUUAUAUCUAAAAGAAGAAAGGUGUUUUUGAGAUCAAUCAGCCCGGUUUAGUCCAAGAAAAUAUUAAUAAUGUCAUCACCCAGGCAGACAAAAUUGAAUCUCUAGGAACUUCCAUGGGAACAUGAAAGCAAUGUCUAUUACCGCCUUACUCUCUUUAAUAGUAACAGCCAUUACUAUACUUUCAGCUUUUACUCUUUUUCCAAUUUUGUUUAAAAUGUUAACUGAUUUCUUGCUCUCUUGCUUAUGGCAACUCCAUGUUUGCAGGAUGCUUUUGCAAGGCUUUCAACCUACUGCUGCCAACAUCUUGCCCACUGGUUCCACGAAUGACAUGGUUUACACCUGGUUAGAUCACACAGGAAGAAACUUUAGGGCCCAGGCUAGGCAGAAAUAACACCCACUCAGCGGGAAACAGCUCCAGAAAAAAUGAUCUAGCCCCUCAACCUCCAAUAUGAUUAUGACCCUAAGAUCUCUUAGGGGGAUAUUGAGGCAGAAUAGAUA